UCAAAAAUGCCCUUUUUCACCCAUACAUAAUUCUUAAUUUGCCUUUUCACUUUUGCCAAUUGCUGGCUUUGUUCACAAAGACUGGUGCUUUCUUUCCUCCUCACAGUAUGUCCUGUGCUCCUACUGGAUGCUAUAGUGAAGUCAUAAUAGCAGGUGCACGUCACCAUCACUGUUUCCAUGGCAAUAGACUGAUGUCAGAAAUUGAUGUGGACUUCACUGCAGGAUCAAACAGCAAAAAAACCUAGGUGGCUCCUGUAUCACAACAUAUGGCGCCCAAAGUGGGACACAAGACAAGAAGAGCCAGCAGCAUUCAGAGCUUUUUGUGAGUAGGAUCCUCCUAGAGUUCCUUUGGUAACUCACAGGGAAGGAAAGGGAGAAAAGACCGGACCUGGAAGAAUGCCUCGAAUAUAUUAAGUGCUCAAUAAUGAAUAAAUGAUGACUGUUACAAAUAUUAGAAAAGUUGGCAUUCAGAGAAAUGAAUUGGCGUGUUCUGUGUUGUCCUAGAAGGGGUAAUCUACUGUGUCAAAAUCUGCAGACAGAAGCAAAUAGAAGCAAAACCAACCAAUAACUGCAAAGAGAACAACGGAAGUGUAUAAAAGUUAUAAGAAAGCAGUUUUUCACCUCAACACAAGAAAGAAUUUUCUAAAAAUCAGAAUUGUCCAGCAAUGGAACAAGUAAUCUCUUAGAGUAGUUAAGGUCUUCUUACAUAAGGAAUUUUUGAUCUGUCUACAAACCCAUCUUCAAAAUAAUGUUUUUAAACAUUAUUUUAAACAUAGGAUUACAAAGAAGUCAAUUAUAUUUAAAUAAAGAGGCAAUUUUUGCCCCAUUCAAGUUCACAGACAUCCUGAAAAUUAUACCAGGUUAAGAAUCUGGAAUCCAAUAAAUCCCGUCUGACCACUCAUCAAAAAUAUUAUAGAAAUAAAUCCUACAUGGAUGGGAGGUUAGACUAAAUAAUCUUCCAUUCUAAAGUUACACAGUACUUUGAUCCUAUUACAUAAGAGAGACUAUAAAUGUAUUAGCUAUCACCUUUUCCUUUAGUACCCCAGGGUACUCCCAACUCAUCUGACUCUCCAAACUGUUCCCCCUCCCCACUAAAUGCCUUGCUUGCCUUCUCCCCAACCUUUCUUUCCAGUUCCCCUUUCUAAUUUUUUUUCUUUCACUAUUA